rnacentral:rRNA from 1 species
GACGAACGCUGGCGGCGUGCUUAACACAUGCAAGUCGAACGGAAAGGCCCUGCUUUUGUGGGGUGCUCGAGUGGCGAACGGGUGAGUAACACGUGAGUAACCUGCCCUUGACGUUGGGAUAACUUCAGGAAACUGGGGCUAAUACCGGAUAGGAGCUCCUGCUGCAUGGUGGGGGUUGGAAAGUUUGGGCGGGUGGGGAUGGACUCGCGGCUUAUCAGCUUGUUGGGGGGGUGGUGGCUUACCAAGGCUUUGACGGGUAGCCCGCCUGAGAGGGUGACCGGCCACAUUGGGACUGAGAGACGGCCCAGACUCCUACGGGAGGCAGCAGUGGGGAAUAUUGCCCAAUGGGCGGAAGCCUGAUGCAGCAACGCCGCGUGCGGGAUGACGGCCUUCGGGUUGUAAACCGCUUUCGCCUGUGCCGAAGCGUGAGUGACGGUAAUGGGUAAAGAAGCACCGGCUAACUACGUG